rnacentral:lncRNA from 1 species
CAACUUGCAUAACUUGAUUAUUUCCAAAUUUAACCGUGGAUUUAAAAGACUCGUCCAAAUCACCAAAUAUCUCCUUCUUACCGCACAUAUGAUUACUACAUCCGGAGACAACAUACCAGACAUCAUUGUUAGUUUCUUCACUAACAGCAGCCAUAGAUGCGGAGUAUAAAAUGGUUUCACUUUUAUCCCCUUCAUCCUCAGCUACUCGAGCANN